GGGAAGGUGGCUCAGUGGUAGAGUGCUUGCCUUGCAUGCAUGAGGCCCUGGGUUCGAUUCCUUAGCACUACCU
rfam:Dipodomys ordii contig_18762, whole genome shotgun sequence.